rnacentral:rRNA from 1 species
CAGUCGCCGCGGGAAUACGUAGGGUGCAAGCGUUAAUCGGAAUUACUGGGCGUAAAGCGUGCGCAGGCGGUUUGUUAAGUCUGCUGUGAAAUCCCCGGGCUCAACCUGGGAAUGGCAGUGGAUACUGGCAAGCUAGAGUGUGUCAGAGGAUGGUGGAAUUCCCGGUGUAGCGGUGAAAUGCGUAGAGAUCGGGAGGAACAUCAGUGGCGAAGGCGGCCAUCUGGGACAACACUGACGCUGAGGCACGAAAGCGUGGGGAGCAAACAGGAUUAGAUACCCCGGUAGUCCCUGUCUCUUAUAC